GGGGCCGAUUAGGAUUCGACGCCGGUUGCGAAACUCUAGGUGCAUGCCGAGUUGGUAACAGAACUCGUAAAUCCACUGUUGCAACUUCUUAUAGUUGCCAAUGACGAAACCUACGGGGAUUACGCUCUCGCUGCGUAAGCAGCCUUAGCCCUUCCCCCCUGGUCGCUUCGGCGCCAGCAAUCAUCAGGGGAUGCCUGUAAACCCAAAAUGAUUGUCAUAUAGAACAGGAUCGCCGCGUAGUACGUUGUGGACGAAACGGCUAAAUAUUACACAACUCGCCCAAAACACCCUGCCAAUCGGGCGGUCGCGGGUUAACUCAGUAGAUCUGGCUAAGCAUGUAGUACCGACAGCGGAGUACUGGCGGACGGGGGUUCAAAUCCCCCCGGCUCCACCA
rnacentral:tmRNA from 3 species